AAGGGAAGCGAGAUANCGAUAUUAAGCGAAGCCCAAAAAUAAACGUCUCAGUUCGGAUUGCAGCCUGCAACUCGGCUGCAUGAAGCCGGAAUCGCUAGUAAUCGCGGAUCAGAAUGCCGCGGUGAAUACGUUCCCGGGUCUUGUACACACCGCCCGUCACACCAUGGGAGUCGGGAAUGCCCGAAGUCGGUGAGCUAACGAAAGAGGCAGCCGCCGAAGGCAGGCCCGGUAACUGGGGUGAAGUCGUAACAAGGUACC
rnacentral:rRNA from 1 species